rnacentral:sRNA from 1 species
GCCAGGUGUGGUGGCGCACGCCUGUAAUCCCAGUGACUCAGGAGAUUGAGACAGGAGGAUCGUGAGUUCAAAGCCAGCUCAGCAAUGGCAAGGUGCUAAGCAACUCGGUGAGACCCUAUUUCUA